CCUAACAGGAGGCCCGCACGCGCACAAGACGCGCUUAGCCUGAGACGGACUCAGCUUCGUCUCGCCCUCAGAUCCGCGUACGCCAGCGCUUCACCUCGCCCUCGUCCGGCCGCCGCCGCGACCGGAGAAGCGCCAGGCCGCCGGGCCAGCCGCGAGUGGAGAGGCACCUGCGCCGCUGUUGUGAUCCCAGAGAGGCGCCAGGCCGCCGCGACCGGGGGCGCGUGGAGGCAGCCGGCCACCGGGCCUGAUGAUGUGCUGAUGCAGUCCAGUGCGUGGAGGAGGCUGCGCUGCUCCUACCGCGCCGCACGUCUUGAUUUCGGCGGCCUCGACUCCACGAUGGAUUUCAGUGUCCGAGCCCGCAUCCAGAGCCCACACCGGUCGGCCGCCCACUUUGUCGCCGGCGAGAGGUGA
rnacentral:lncRNA from 1 species